rnacentral:rRNA from 1 species
AUUGAACGCUGGCGGCAUGCCUUACACAUGCAAGUCGAACGGCAGCACGGGAGCAAUCCUGGUGGCGAGUGGCGAACGGGUGAGUAAUAUAUCGGAACGUGCCCGGUCGUGGGGGAUAACGUAGCGAAAGCUACGCUAAUACCGCAUACGAUCUACGGAUGAAAGCGGGGGAGUCGCAAGACCUCGCGCGAUUGGAGCGGCCGAUAUCAGAUUAGGUAGUUGGUGAGGUAAAGGCUCACCAAGCCGACGAUCUGUAGCUGGUCUGAGAGGACGACCAGCCACACUGGGACUGAGACACGGCCCAGACUCCUACGGGAGGCAGCAGUGGGGGAAUUUUGGACAAUGGGCGCAAGCCUGAUCCAGCAAUGCCGCGUGCAGGAUGAAGGCCUUCGGUUGUAAACUGCUUUGUACGGACGAAACGGUGGAGCUCUAAUAACAGUUUGUCUAAUGACGGGUACCGUAAGAAUAAGCACCGGCUAAC